ACCUGGGUGGCUCAGUCGGUUAAGCGUCUGACUUCGGCUCAGGUCAUAUGCUCACAGUGUGUGGGUUCGAGCCCCACAUCGGGAU
rnacentral:tRNA from 1 species